AGUGAACGCUGGCGGUAGGCCUAACACAUGCAAGUCGAACGGCAGCACAGUAAGAGCUUGCUCUUACGGGUGGCGAGUGGCGGACGGGUGAGGAAUACAUCGGAAUCUACUUUUUCGUGGGGGAUAACGUAGGGAAACUUACGCUAAUACCGCAUACGACCUACGGGUGAAAGCAGGGGAUCUUCGGACCUUGCGCGAUUGAAUGAGCCGAUGUCGGAUUAGCUAGUUGGCGGGGUAAAGGCCCACCAAGGCGACGAUCCGUAGCUGGUCUGAGAGGAUGAUCAGCCACACUGGAACUGAGACACGGUCCAGACUCCUACGGGAGGCAGCAGUGGGGAAUAUUGGACAAUGGGCGCAAGCCUGAUCCAGCCAUACCGCGUGGGUGAAUAAGGCCUUCGGGUCGUAAAGCCCUUUUGUUGGGAAAGAAAAGCAGCAGGUUAAUACCCCGCUGUUCUGACGGUACCCAAAGAAUAAGCACCGGCUAACUUCGUG
rnacentral:rRNA from 1 species